GAGAGGGCAGGGAAAGAGCAAUCAUAAAAUCAUAAGAAUAAUCAAUCAUAAGCAAGGAGCUGAAAGCCACUCUUUCUUUGUAAACUCUACCUUAAUCCGGCUCCUAGUCACAAAAUACUGAUUUCAACUAUAACAUCUAUUGCGCAAGGGACCCCGCAAGCUAUAAGUUUAGCAGAUUAGAUGCUUGAGAAGAAACAAACGAUUCUGAAAGUGGAGUAAUAGGCUUUCUCUUUCCGCCCUAAGCUAGCUCCCCCGACUGCCGAAUUGCACGUCAACAGAUUGUCCCGCCUCCUUGGCGACUCAAGAAUCAUCAGCGGUAAAAAAACGGUAAGCAGGAAAGAAAGGAGAGUUCCGCCCUGAAGUUAAUGGCAUUGUCAGCGAGAGAAGAAGCCGUGCUCAAGUAAUCCUAUACGGAAGCAGUGCGAGUUAAGUAUCUCCGCGUUGGCUCUUGUGCAAUUAAUUAGAAAGUUCAGUGGAUGCGUUUCAUCAGUUUGUCGACCAGAGUAAUCAAUUUCUAUUUGAGUUGACUCGUUACUUGG
rnacentral:lncRNA from 1 species